UCCAUUAUCAGAAAUCUGUACUCAACUCGAGUAUUUAGUUUUGGGACCAAUGUUUACUUUUCACUUUUUCAUCUUCUCAUUCUCAUCUGUUUGUCUUCACCAUCUUAUCCUCCAUAUGCUGGCAAACAGUGGCAGGUCGGCACCUCCGCACCCUGAUAAAACCAUUCGUAACACACUGCUGAAAUCAUUGUCCAAAGGGCAUCUGGGGUUCCCAGGCCAUCAGGGGUCUAAGGGUGAGACUGUCCUCUGAUCCAGUCCAGAGAUGUGAGUUGACCUUCUUUCUUCUCUAAUCUUUUAAUUUCUUCCUGUUCUCAGAUUCAGAAGGGCGGUCCAGGGGACAAGGGGCCACCCGGAGGUUCAGGUACCACUGGGACCAAGAGCCAGCGAGUGGACAAAGAUCUUCUUGAAGACGACAUUCUUGGGGCUCAUGAUGCUGCUGAGUGACAAAACAAUCAGGAAGCUCUUAGCAUCACUCUGGGUGUCACCGGGGCAGUGCCACAACAACGCCCACUCACCUGCAGCAAGACGAGUACAAAGAUGAAGACGAGCACGACGGACAAAUGCGAUGGGCACCAGCCUCGUCUAUAUGUCACCGAGGGUUGUCCAGAACGGGCUCGCUCCAUCGGAACGGCCAAUCGGGAGCUUUUGCCAUGCUGGCCACGCCCCCAAUGGUCACGCCCACUGCAACCACCUUGAAUCAACCGCUGAGGGGAUUGAACUGCACUCCGACCACGUCAGCACAACCAAUCAGAUUACCUCGUACGUAUAUCUGUGCCUGUGUGUGUGUGUGCGCACGUCUUUCCUUUUUUUGUGUAUGUGUGUCUUUUUUAUGCCCCUAUUUAUGAGUUCGCUCCCAGUACACCGGCGCCUCUUUAUAUAGAGCAAAGUCUCAAGGUGCAGGUCAAAGGUCAAGAUGCGGCAAACUAGUCAUACACAAUGCACACAUAGUUUAUUGGUCAUUAUUAUUAUUAUUAUUAUUAUUAUUCCAUUAACUACGCUGUUACAUUGGAUCAGUUGAGCUGUCUGUCGUCUAUGACGACGACGCCAUCAGCGGCAAGAAAUGAAAACAUUGACUCCAUUCGAGAGGCGAGUGCGUCAGGAUGUAAUCUGGUUUUCUGCUCGUCAGCAGUUCUCCUGGAUUACUGUGUUGUCAUCAACGUGAUUACUCGCAUCAGAUUACAAUCCACAUACCCACGAGCACACAAACAAAUUGAUGCAAGCAUACAAACACACCCACACAUGGAAAGAGGUGUAUGGAAAAGACAAAAACACUCCUUUAUUCACCCAAGCAUGAUUGUGAUGUCAUGAAAGCUAUGAGGUGGACUGUUUGCAAAUCAUCAUCUCAGUUAAAAUGUCGUGUGUGUGUGUGUGUGUGUGUGUGUGUGUGUGUGUGUCUAUUCAGACGUAAGCUCUGGCUGUCGCCGCCUCCGACGUAGGUGUGGCCUUGUAGACCUUGGAUGCAGGACCGUUGCCAUAGUAACCACUGAAACACAGAAAACGACAUUUUUGUAUCCCAACACACUGUAGUUUGAAACCUGACUUUGAAACCCUGACACUAAUUUAAAAAAAUUGUUUGAAACCC